rnacentral:rRNA from 1 species
UACAGAGGUCUCAAGCGUUUGUUCGGAUUCAUUGGGCGUAAAGGGUGUGUAGGUGGCGCGCUAAGUCGGGUGUGAAAUUUCGGAGCUUAACUUCGAAACUGCAUUCGAUACUGGCGUGCUUGAGGACUGGAGAGGAGACUGGAAUUUACGGUGUAGCAGUGAAAUGCGUAGAUAUCGUAAGGAAGACCAGUGGCGAAGGCGGGUCUCUGGACAGUUCCUGACACUGAGACACGAAGGCCAGGGGG